rnacentral:lncRNA from 1 species
CGAUACUAUCUAAUCUGGCCAUUUUAGCGUGAAACGAGGCCCAGGAUUACUGAUUUUGGAAAAAUGGGAGAUAAGACGUAAAACAUUAGGGGAAACUUUUGAGCUUGCUCAUUAGUUGCAGUUUUCCAUUGCUCAGGCUGACCAAAUGAUUGGUCAAUAGUUAAGGCAGAUUCAGGGAGAAAUGGAAAGAAUAUUGAUCCGAGGUCGCAGGACCUGGAUUCUCUGACCCUCACCUGGGAUAGGAAGCAAAGAGACUCCUUUAGCCUCUUCGGGUCUGUUCCUAUAGAAAAUGAGAAGGAAGGGAGGUCUAGUGAUCUCUAAGACUCCCUUUGGUUCCAAAUACACUACUGGACUUGAACGCAGUCAAGAAAACCUGGGAUCCAAUUUUAUCUCUGAUGAUCAUCGUGUGACCACCAUUAAAUUACAAUCAAAUUCAUCUGAGCCUCACUCAGCUGUAAACAAGGAUAGGAUGAUACUAUUGUAUCGUUUGUUUUUCACCGCGCCUAGCUCUUCUGCUCCCGUUUGGAUUUUCUUAGCAAAGAUACUGAAAUGGCUUGUCAUUUCCCUCUCUGGUUUAUUUACAGGUAAUCUUCAGGAUCUUCCCAAGAUAAUUCAACUGUAAAUGGUUGUUUUCUGGCUGAAAGACUGAGACUCUCCAGGUUUGAUUAGACACACAACAGUGAAGUGCUGGGUAUACUCUUCUCUCCCACGUUUUCUUCUGGAGUAUCUCAAAACUGAGCUUCCUCUGCUAAUUCAUGCCUCAACCUCAUCAUCCACAUGGAUAUCUCUGGAAUGUAUACCAAAAAGGAAAAUGAACUUAUCCACAGUGUUCAAAAUUUCUCUACUAACUGUGACUAAUGUUUUCACAUCUGGAUGGCAUAGUACUGACUGGUGGAGAGAUCUGUUUUCUUGGUAUUGACCUAUUGGGUCAAAAUUAUCACAAGCAGGAGAGAAUCCAUAUUCUUUGUAUUUCAGUCUCUAAUAUUGCAUUGAAUGCACAAUCAUCUGCAAACAAGUUGUGUACCAACUCUCCUAUUUUGGUCUUGGCUUGUACCUUUUUACAUUAAAUUGUUUACCAUAAGUAUGUAGCUGAAUUUAAUGGCAUUUUCAUUCCUAUUGAAAGUAUCCA